GCCUACGGGAGGCAGCAGUUAGGAAUCUUGGACAAUGGGCGCAAGCCUGAUCCAGCCAUGCCGCGUGAGUGAUGAAGGCCUUAGGGUUGUAAAGCUCUUUCAGCGGGGAAGAUAAUGACGGUACCCGCAGAAGAAGCCCCGGCUAACUUCGUGCCAGCAGCCGCGGUAAU
rnacentral:rRNA from 1 species